AACGCGAAGAACCUUACCUGGGCUUGAACCGCACAGGACCAUCUUUGGAAACAGAGACUUCCCGCAAGGGGCUGCUGUAUAGGUGCUGCAUGGCUGUCGUCAGCUCGUGUCGUGAGAUGUUGGGUUAAGUCCCGCAACGAGCGCAACCCUCAUCCCUAGUUGCCACCGGGUAAUGCCGAGCACUCUAGUGAAACCGCCCCGGAUAACGGGGAGGAAGGUGGGGAUGACGUCAAGUCCUCAUGGCCUUUAUGUCCAGGGCUACACACGUGCUACAAUGGUCGGUACAAACCGUCGCAAAGCCGCAAGGUGGAGCUAAUCGGAAAAAGCCGGCCUCAGUUCGGAUUGGAGUCUGCAACUCGACUCCAUGAAGCUGGAAUCGCUAGUAAUCGCAGAUCAGAACGCUGCGGUGAAUACGUUCCCGGGCCUUGUACACACCGACUGUAC
rnacentral:rRNA from 1 species